rfam:Pan troglodytes isolate Yerkes chimp pedigree #C0471 (Clint) chromosome 16, whole genome shotgun sequence.
GCUGGGUGUGGUGGUGUGCACCUAUAGUCCCAGCUACUAGGGAGGCUGAGGCAGGAGAAUUGCUUGAACCCAGGAGGCAGGGGUUGCAGUGAGCCGUGAUCACACCACUGCACUCCAUUCUGGGCAACAGAGCAAUACUCUGUCUCAA